ACAAGCUUGGGGAGGCUUUGCCAAUUACUUAAUGCUUUGCCUGAUCAUCCUCUUAAGAAAAAUGAAAUACUUGAAAUCUUCUAUAAUGGACUAAACAAUGCUUCUAGGGACUUCCUAGAUAGUUGUGCUGGUUGUGUUUUCAGGGAACGAACUAUUUCUCAAGCUGAAGAAUUAUUGAAUAAUAUAUUGAAAAAAAUAUGAUGAUUGGACUCUUCCUGAACCACCGCCUAAACCCACUCUGAAGAAGAGGAGUAUAUUAUAUCUCAGUCCCGAAGAUAUGCAAGAGGCAAAGAAAUCUAUGAAGGAAAAAGGUAUUAAAGCUGAGGACAUUAAAAAUUUACCUCCUAUUGAAGAAAUACAUGGGCUUAAUACACCACCACUGCCUAAGGUGGUAGAGGUAAAUUCUCUUAUGAAGUUCAAUGAAAAUGAAAAUCCUCACAAUAUGCACCCUAGUCAAUGCCUUCAUGAGUUUGAAAACUAUAUUAGAAAACAAGAUCACUUCAAUGCAAAUGUUAUGAAACAAUUGAAAUACAAUUCUGAUAUGAUUGCUCGCUUUAGUGACUUGUUAUUUAGAAUCUCAAAUGAUGUUAGAGGUGUUGGAAAACAUGCUUCUAUGGUUCAAACUCAACUAGAACAAGUUGCUAAAUCACAAAGAGAAUUACUUGAUGAAAUGAAUCAUAAUAUGCAUGACUUUGCUGUUAGAGUCGCAAUUAGAGGAGGUAAAAUGACCCAGGAACCACUUUAUCCUGAGGGACACCCUAAAAGAAUUAUACAAGAUUCACAAAGAGCUAAUACUACUGCACCUAGUACUUCUAAAAAGAAAAGGAAAAAGAAAAAUGAUAGGACUUUGCAUGCUUCUAGUGAACCUAAAAUAGAAAAACCUCCUGAUAAUGAAAAUGAAACUUCUAUCUCAGAUGCUGAAACUCAAUCUGGUAAUGAACAUCCACCUAGUGAUAAUGAAAAAGAUAAUGCUGAUGUUCAUGAAGAUGCUCAACCAAAUGAAAAAGAACCAGAUAAUGAUGUUGAGAUAGAACCACCUGUUGAUCUUGAUAACCCACAACCUAAAAAUAAAAGGCAUGAUAAAAGAGACUUUGUGGCUAGGAAACACGGUAAAGAAAGAGAACCGUGGGUUCAAAAACCUAUGCCUUUUCCACCCAAGUCAACUAAAAAGAAUGAUGAUGAAGAAUUUGAACGCUUUGCUGAAAUGUUGAGGCCAGUCUUUUUGCGUACUCGCUUGACUGAUAUCUUGAAAAUGCCUCCUUAUGCAAAGCAUAUGAAAGACAUCAUCACUAAUAAGAGAAAAAUACCGGAAGCUGAAAUCUCCAGUAUGCUUACUAAUUAUGCUUUCAAAGAUGGAGUACCUAAAAACUUGGAGAUCCGGGUAUACCAACUAUACCUUGCUCUAUCAAAAAGAAUUAUGUGAAAACUGCUUUGUGUGAUUUAGGAGCUGGUGUUAGUGUUAUGCCUUUCUCUUUAUAUAAAAGACUUGACUUGAAUAAACUUACACCUACUGAAAUAUCUUUGCAAAUGGCUGACAAGUCAACUUCCAUACCUAUCGGUAUCUGUGAGGAUGUGCCCAUUGUUGUUGCUAAUGUUACUAUUUUGACUGACUUUGUUAUACUUGAGAUGCCCGAGGACAACAACAUGUCGAUUAUCCUUGGUAGACCCUUCUUGAAUACUGCAGGGGCUGUUAUUGAUUGCAAUAAAAGCAAGGUCACUUUUCAUAUUAAUGGUAAUGAGCAUACGGUGCACUUUCCGAAGAAACAAUUCCACGUGAAUGGUAUUAAUGUUAUUGAAAAAUCUCCGACAAUCACUAUUGGAAGUUUUCAAAUACCUCUACCUACUGUCAAAAAGAAAUAUGAAAUGCUUAUUGUUGGGUAGAUGCAAAUCCCCAUUGAGGUAACUUAGUGAUUUACGAAAGUUCUUCGGUUUCAUGCUAAUCGAAAGUGGUUGUUAAUAAGACCUCAUCACCUUAUUAAUGAAUCAUUUUUGAACGGUAUGAGAUUGAUGAAUUUAGUAAGCACUACUCUCUGUCCCUACUCUUUAUUCUGUGUUUUUAUUAGUUAAAUAAAAUGAAAUGCAUGUUUUGUCUGUUUUCUGAAUUUCCCGUGCAAUAAAAAAUGACCCAAAAAUAAAAGUUCUCAGAAUGCCCUGAAAAUUUUAUAUGAUUUUUUUCUGAAUAUUUAAGAAAUUUUGGUGCAAAUAAUACGAGAGGGGAGUGCACCUGGUGGGCACAACCCACCAGGGCGCGCCAGCACCCCCUGGCGUGCCGUGGGGGUUGUGGUCCCCACGUGGGCCCCCUGACUUACUUCUUCCUCCCACACGGUCACUUACCUCCAGAAAAAAUCACUCUAGCUCUCUCUCGUGUUCUUGCUCCCGAAACCGCGGAUUUCGAUCUCUUUGCUCGAAGCUCCGUUUCCGAAACUGUUUCGGGUAUUUGUUGCGUGGUAUGUGACUCCACCACUUGUCCAAUUAGUUUUUGUUUUAGUGGUUUAUACUUUGAAUAAAUAGCUACUCUUGGUGUUGUUGUAGAUGUGCUUGCAUGUUCAAUUCUUAGUGUUCUAAGUAGUUUGAAUGCUUGCUAUGGCCUCUAUGUAUCCCUAUGAGUAGUUGCUAUUAGCUUUGUGAAGUUUUGUUGGUAAAAUUUUGUGGACUAAAAAUUCAGAUUUUUGUUCAUAGGAAAAAUUGUACACGGACAUUAUGAACCUAUUUGGAAGGAGUUCUUCGAGGAGAAGGUCCUCGGGGGCAUCUUCUAGUGACAGCUCUACUCGCCGGUCUUAUGUUGAACCAAGUGAAAGUUCCACGCGAGAUGCCGCUACCAAAACUUGCUUAUGGCCUUGCGAUGAGUAUAUGCUGCAAGUGGGCAUUAAGGAGGAAUUUGAACAAUAUGUUCACAAUGCCGGUCUCGGUCCCUACCUUUCAGAUAAGUGUGAACAACGCCAUCUUCUCACUGAAUCAUUUGUAAAAGGAUUUAAAUAUUUUCCACGUGAGUCUAGGGUGUCGUUUAUGCUUUAUGAUGAACCAUUUACUAUCCCACUAUAGAACUUUGCUUACCAUUGCAAACUUCCAUUUUGGGGUUCGCUUGAUGAGCCGGCGAAGGGUGAGUAUAAGUCUUUCUUGACUAGCCUUUGCUACGGUGAAAAUAGGGGGUGAGGCAAGGUAGAAUAAAGAGCAUUCACUUUCCCGCAAUUUAGUACUUUGCUUUAUUUAACGGGAAGUGCAUAGUAGGCAAGCAAGACUGUAGCAUACUUUGUGCGCCAGAAUUGAGCCUUGUUCAUACCGCUCUCACAGGUGAAAGGAAUUAUAACCUUGCAACGAUUGUUGCACAUAGACUUCAGCAUAAUGCCAAAAGUGGUUGGUUCUAUAGUGGAAUUUAUGCCACACGUCUAGCACGAGGGUUGGGUGUUUCGCCUUUACCCUUUGAUCCUAUCCUACCCACACAGUAUUUAGAUUUUGAGACCUUAAAGGAUCAUAAGAUUCUCAAGGGAAGGGCUGAUAACUUCACUUAUAAUCUGAUGUUUAACCAAUCACAUGUUGUGGACACAUAUUUGCCUGCGCCUGCUCUUUUGGACUAUAACAACAGGGAAAGAUACUUCGUUCUUGAGAGCGAGGCCCGAGCUCACAACGCAGCAGUGUUGGCGGCACGGCGCGCUGAGGCCUCCACCCCGAGAGCCUUCGCGAGCUACCACGCCGACUACUACCCUCCAGGCUACUGAUCGACUACCAAGCUAGGCCAAAAUCCUAAGCUUGGGGGAGUACGUGUUUCUCACCGACAUUAUAUUCAUGUUCACAUAUCAUUCUAUUUGUCGGUGUUCACACUUUUUCAUUGUAUCAUCCAUGCUUAGAUUAAUUUUCUUGCUUUCUUCUUGUGUGCUUGAAAAACAUUAGAAAAACCAAAAAAAAUAGUUGUAGUAAUUUACUUUCUAUGCAUGCUUAGUAGUAGAGCUAAAAAGAAAAUCCGAAAAGAUUUCCUUGUUCUUCUUUUGCUUGUUGGGAGCUUUCCCGUGUAAAUAGUUUUUCUCGUUUUUGAUUUUUCCCUUUUAUUUCCUUGUUCAAGAAAACCAAAAACUCCAAAAAUAUUUCGGUGUGUUUCUCUGAAUUUCUUUUCUUUUUAUACGAGUCUUACCGAGGAGAAGACCACAAUGAAAAUGUUGAGUGGCUCUCAUAUGAAUAACUGUUGAACUAAUAAAGAGCACAUUUUACCUUGUCUUCUCCUGUUGAAUAAAAUGUUUUGCAGAUUCCAGUUUAGUCCAUGGCACUCUUGCAUUAUUAUUAUUUUCAUAUCAUUCGGUCAUGCAAGUGAAAGGCAAUAAUGACGAUAUUCGAUGAGCUGGCCGUGGCAAAGAGAAACUGGUAUGAACUUGACAUGUUCUUGUUGUGUAAAUAUGUUUAACCUAGUGCCCAUGCUUCAGCCCAUUAUGAUUAAACAUGCUUGCAAUGACAAUUAGAGAUUAUAGUUUCUCGUGCCAUGCAUAAGUAGCUGGGAGUUGAUAAUGAUUUAUCUGGGAUAUCAACAUAGCGUUAAAAUGAUUGUGAUGUAGUAUGAUGAUAUGGUAUCCUCCUCUAAAAGUUCGAGUGGCUUGACUUGGUACAUGUUCACGCAUGUAGUUGAACAAAACCAACAUAGCCUCUAUAAUAUUUAUGUUCAUGGUGUUCAUAUCCUACUCAUGCUAGUGUCCAAUGUUACUUAUGCAUAAUGCUUGGUUAUGAUCGUUGUUGCUAUCUAGCUGGCUGCUUCCCAAUCUUAAUUGCUAGCCUUCGCCUGUACUAAGUGGGAACUCUGCUUGUACAUCAAAAACCUUAAACCCAAAGUUAUUCCAGAUGAGUCCACCAUACCUACCUAUGUACGGUAUUACCCUGCCGUCCUAAGUAAAUUUGCAUGUGCCACCUCUAAAAACUUCUAAAAAUUAUCCUUUUGUGUGCCUGGAUCGUUCGUGGAACGAUGGGAGGUGGUCGAUAUCUUCCGUUCUAAGCAUGUUAUCCUCAGGUCGAGUGUUUAUUCACUCGCCAUCGCACGAGGAAAUGGGCAGUUUAGGGAUGCCCAGUCCCAAAUUGCAAACAUGAAAAAGAGUGCAUCUCUUUAAUAAUCAAACAAAAACUCCCAAUGGAGUCAAAACCUUUACUUUCCGCUUGGGAACCGCCACUAGCGUGCUUAGCAUGGAAGAUGUUGAUAACUGAUGGUCGUGAAGUGAAUGAGAAGGGGGCAUGUCUCAAAAUAUCAUUUAUCUCUAUUUUAAAAACUGAGCUCCGGCACCUCUGCAAAUCACUGCUUCCCUCUACGAAGGGACUUUCUAUUUACUUUCAUGUUGUGUCAUCACCUUCUAAAAACAAGCGCCAGAAACUGGGGAGAGCAGAGCUGUCAUGAUUUAUGCAUUGUGUAUAGCUAAUGUUGGGUGCAUCAUGACUGGAUCUUUUCUACCAUGAAUUGCAAUGUUUAGUCACUGCUUGAACUUUGGAGGUGCUCUGCAUUUAUGUUUUGCGGUCUCAGAAAGGGCUAGCGAGAUACCACUAUUGUCAUAUUAUAUCAUGGUUGUUUUGACAAUGUGUUGCUAUUUGAGAUAUUUUAUUAUGGCUCGCUAGCUGAUUAUGUCAUUGAUAUGAAUCAUUGUAAUCUUUAAAUGUUAUUGUUGACAUGGUUAGUUAUAAUGCUGGCUGAAAACCUGGGUGCUGUUUAAGCUUAUUUAUGCAAACAAGAGCAAAAGAGUUCGUAAAAGUUUUUCUUUCUCACUUUCAGUUUAUCAACUGAAUUGCUUGAGGACAAACAAAGGUUUAAGCUUGGGGGAGUUGAUACAUCUCCAACGUAUCUACUUUUUCUCACGCUUUUCCUCUUGUUUUGGACUCUAAUUUGCAUGAUUUGAAUGAAACUAACCCCGGACUGACCCUGUUUUCAGCAGAACUACCAUGGUGUUGUUUUUGUGCAGAAAUAAAAGUUCUUGGAAUGAAGUGAAACUUUGCGAGGAUUUUUUAUAUCAAUAAUAAGAACUUUUGGAGCCAAGAACCACCAGAGAGGUGCCCCUGGCUAGGCACAACCCACCAGGGUGCGCCCCCCUCUCCUGGCGCGCCCAGGUGGGUUGUACCCACCUGGUGGCCCUGCUGAAGACCCCCUUGAUACUAUAAAUUCACAUUAUUCUAGAAAAAAAUUAGGGAGAAAGAAUUAUCGCGUUUCACGAGACGGAGCAGCCGCCAAGCCCUGUUCUUCCUCGGGAGGGCAGAUCUGGAGUCCGUUUGGGGCUCCGGAGAGGGAGAUCUUCGUUCUUCGUCAUCACCAACCAAUCUCCAUCGCCAAUUCCAUGAUGCUCCCCACCGGGAGUGAGUAAUUCCUUCGUAGGCUCGCUGGUCGGUGAGGAGUUGGAUGAUAUUCAUCAUGUAAUUGAGUUAGUUUUGUUAGGCUCCGAUCCCUAGUAUCCAGUAUGUUCUUAGAUUGAUGUUGCUAUGACUUUGCUAUGCUUAAUGCUUGUCACUUUGGGCCCGGGUGCCAUGAACUCAGAUCUAAACCAUUUAUGAAUUCAUCAUUAUAUCCAUGUUUUAGAUCCGAUCUUGCAAGUUAUAGUCACCUACUACGUGUUAUGAUCCGGCAACCCCGGAGUGACAACAACCGGGCCCACUCCCGGUGAUGACCGUAGUUUAAGGAGUUCAUGUAUUCACUAUGUGUAAUGCUUUGUUCCGGUUCUCUAUUAAAAGGAGGCCUUAAUAUCCCUUAGUUUCCAAUAUGGACCCCGCUGCCACGGGAGGGUAGGACAAAAGAUGUCAUGCAAGUUCUUUUACUAAAGAACGUAUGACUAUUUACGGAAUACAUGCCUAUAUUAUAUCGAUGAACUGGAGCUAGUGCCGUAACGCCCUAGGUUAUAAAUGCCACAUGAUGAAUAUCAUCCAACAAGUCACCGAUCCAAUGCCUACGAAUUUAUCCUUAUUGAUCUUGAUGCAUUACUAUUGCUAUCAUCACUGAUACACUUGCUACAAAUUACUGUUAUCACUGUUACUGUUACUGUUGCUGCUGCCACUACUAUCAAAACUAUCAAACUACUUUGCUACUGAUCACUUUGCUGCAGAUAAUUAAUCUCCAGGUGUGGUUGCAUUGACAACUCAGCUGCUAAUAUCUUCAAAUAUUCUUUGGCUCCCCUUGUGUCGAAUCUAUAAAUUUGGCUUGAAUACUCUACCCUCGAAAACUGUUGCGAUCCCCUAUACUUGUGGGUUAUCAAUGUGCAUUACCGAGAGGGCCCAGAGAUACCUCUCCGAUACUCGGAGUGACAAAUCCUAAUCUUGAUCUAUGCCAACCCAACAAACACCUUCGGAGACACCUGUAGAGCAUCUUUAUAAUCACCCAGUUAUGUUGUGACAUUUGAUAGCACACAAGGUGUUCCUCCGGUAUUCGGGAGUUGCAUAAUCUCAUAGUCAGAGGAAUAUGUAUAAGUCAUGAAGAAAGCAAUAGCAAUAAAACUUAACGAUCAUUAUGCCAAGCUAAUGGAUGGGUCUUGUCCAUCACAUCAUUCUCUAAUGAUGUGAUCCCGUUCAUCAAAUGACAACACAUGGCUAUGGUCAGGAAACUUAACCAUCUUUGAUUAACGAGCUAGUCUAGUAGAGGCUUACUAGGGACACAAUGUUUUGUCUAUGUAUCCACACAUGUAUCAAGUUUCUGGUCAAUACAAUUCUAGCAUGAAUAAUAAACAUUUAUCAUGAUAUAAGGAAAUAUAAAUAACAACUUUAUUAUUGCCUCUAGGGCAUAUUUCCUUCAUGAUCAUCACAGAGAUUAAAGCUAUCUCGACCGCCUUCAUAUAUUGCAAGCUGAGGUCUUCUAUAGUAGUGACCGGCUAACAUGAGCGUUCCAAUCAGAUAACCCAGAGGUCAAGUUUGACCAAACUAGCAUCCGAUGAAGUAGUAUUCAUUGAUAAGGCGUAAAAACUGGUGGGAUAAACAUAUCCAGAAGGGUUGGAGGCAUUUUUGGGAGAAGGAAAAUUUAUGCUCAUCGACAAGUGCUCGUCCGGUGACUCUAGUCCAUCCAACUAGGUGAAUGCCCAUGCAUGGCCACACUGGUAUAAAUUUAAUAUGUGUAAAUAUGGAUUCUCAAAAAAUAUUAUAGUUAAAUUGCAUACAUAAUUUUACCAAUUAUUUCAAGUCCACCUUUUUAAACCAAUUUACACCUUUUAAGUAGGGUUAAUUUUAUGGAUAAACUAUCACAUUAUCCUCGCCUUUUGUGUGCAUUCGAAUUUAUCAUGUGUCAUACUUUGUGGCUUUUGCAAUGCUCCCCUUCUCUAAAAGAACUCAUCUUUAUCUCCCUUACAGGCGGAAAAAGAUAGAGCUACCCUCACUUAAAUGGGAAAACUUUGUUUUUGCCAACUUUGCUUAUGCCACUCUAGAAUUUGACAUUUCACUUUUGCCACUCUUAGCUUUUGACAAUAUAUCACGUUUGCCAUUCCGUGGCAAAAGCAAAAUUUUCAGAGUGGCAAUUAUGAUACAUUGUCAAAAGCUAAGAGUGGCAAAAGUGAAAUGGAAAAUUAUCGUUUUUGCCAUGGAAUGGCAUUUGUGAUGUAUUAUCCAAAGCCAGGAGUGGCAAAAAUGAGAUGUCAAAUUCUAGAGUGGCAUAAGCAAAAUUGGCAAAAGCUAGAGUGGCGAAAACGAAGUUUUCCCUAAAGUUUUCCCACUUAAAUCCCCAAAGUUGGCUCAUGAUAUGCAUGAGACCAAGUCAAGUUCUAGCCUUCUCCUCGGCUCACGAUGGGCUAGCCUCCGGUGCAUCCCCUUGCACAUACUUCUAUGAGCACACCCAUUUCUUUUCUUGAUCCACUAUUGUGUCAUAGUAUCAUAUGCAUCUGUGUUUCCUCAUCCACUGUGGGUCCCUUGUGCUACAAUGGUGCUUGCUGCAUUUCCAAUCGGAAACAGUCUGGUGUAGUAAGUUCAUCUGUAUUUUCAAACAUACAUAUAAGUACUUAUGUUACCAUGAUGUUUUAGAUGUCAUUCUAUAAGGAUUUCCCUUUUCUUCGAUUUUUAUCUUCCACUUUUCAUUAUAUACUAAUAUUUUAGCUAGUUUCAAAGUGCACUGUCAUCAUUGUUUUCCUUUUUGAGUAAAAUCCCUUGAUUCUUUCUAGGGAUCUAUGGGUGAUAGCUCCCAAUGGCUCACUCCUCUCGUUCUCGCCAUACCUCUCCGUUUCCCUUGAACCAACUAGAAAUCCCUGCCAGCAAGCUUUGAAACCGACAAAAGCUCUCCUAAAUCAUCCGUUCUCCAUUGUCUUCCCUCCCGCUUUGUAGUCCCCGGUAUGCUUGUCAAUCUCUACCACACUACCACGUCUAGCCAUCUCCACUCGGCCUUGUACGUGUACAAUAGCAAAAAACUUCCGUUCCAUGUAACAUUAAUCUUGUCAAGACCCAUUUCCUUACCGUAAAAUAUACUCAUGUAUGGUAUGCUCAUUUUAUACUUCUCAAUAGUUUUUUGUGCAGUGUUGUUGGACCAAGGGUUGGUGUUUCUCUGAGUCAAUCAAUGAUUGCAUAUGCCACUCACUUGGUCUUUGCUAAUUUUGUUUGGGCCUUCCCCCCUCCACAUGGACAUGUGUGAACACUCUAGUUCAAUUUUAUUUGAAAUAGAAUGAAAAAAUAAUAAUUAAUUAUACAUUGUGAUCAAGCAUGAUUGUAACUAAAAUUAAGACUGAGAUCAAUCAAAUAAGGGGUCAAUUUAAUGUAUAAUAUCUGGAUCAUUUUACUUUUACGCAUACUGGAGGCACGCAACCUCCACCUACAGCUCUCGAAUAGGUAGUGAAUCGCCAAUCUUUUUGGCUCACUCUUGUCAAUCACAAAAUCAUUUAGAGUGAAAAUCUAGUAUGUGGUAACUCCAUUCGACAGUCCUUCAUUGAUUUGAAUAUUGUUCCUGGAGUAAGUUGAGAUUUUCAUGUCCCACUCAAUUGUUAGCAUGUCAUCACCAUUGUAUUCCUCUAGAACCAACAUCAGUGUCAUCCAAUCGAGCAGGCGGGUGGGCUCCUUCGGGUACUCUUCUUCCAUUGCAUGUUGGAUGUAUUUAUCCCCCAAUUCAGUGUUGAGACACGCGGUAUGCUACUCUAGCAUUAAUUUUUUUCCUAUCGCGCAACUAAGAUCAUCCUGGUGGGGACAUAUUGCUGGAUCCAGUUUACCACUAGACGCGCAGUCACUAUAGAGGAAGUAGAGUUGGUGAUGUAUGUAGCCGACCAGCCGAGUCGUCUCCUCCUUGUGUAGCCGAUCGCCCAUGAACGAUUCCUUCUGGAUCCCUCAAACAGCUCCUUGCGGUUCCCUCGGACGGUUCGUCCUAGCACCGCAAAUGCUAUGCCUCCAAUGUAUCUGAUAACCACAAGUAUAGGGGAUCAUUUGUAGCCUUUUUCGAUUAAUAAGAGUGUCAAACCCAACAAGGAGCUAAAGGCGGAACAAAUAUUCCCUCAAGUUCUAUCGACCACCGAUACAACUCUACGCACACUUAGUGUUUUAUUUACCUAGAACAAGAAUAAAACUAGAAGUACUUUUUGAGAAUAAAACUACGAAUAAAUUGCAAGGUAAUAAAAGUAGAUGGCUUUUGUUAACAAGAAAGUCAUUUGUCCCUAGGCAAUCGAUAACUAGACCUGUAAUCAUUCUUGCAAUUUUACAUGAGGGAGAGGCAUGAGCUAACAUACUUUCUCUACUUGGAUCAUAUGCACUUAUGAUUGGAACUCUAGCAAGCAUCCGCAACUACUAAAGAUCAUUAAGGUCAUAAAAUCCAACCAUAGCAUUAAGUAUCAAGUCCUCUUUACUCCCAUACGCAAUAACCCACGUAUCCGUGUUCAAGCUUCUGUCACUCCGGCAAGCGUCAAUAAGCAAAUUAUGAACAUAUUGCAACACCCUACAGCGGGGACCCCUCACGUUUGUGCGAGACAAAUGGCACCAUAGGAAAGCACCAUAAUAAAAUAUACACUCAAACCAACCACGAUCAUCAAUUAGCCCAUAGGACAAAACGGAUCAACUCAAACAUCAUAGGAUAACCACGUAUCAUUGGGAAAUAAUAUAUAGUGUUGAGCACCAUGUUUAAGUAGAGAUUACAGCGGGGAGAAGGGGUGUUACACCGCUGCAUAGAGGGGGAGAAAGUUGGUGUUGACGAUAGCAAGGUUGUUGAUGUAGAUCACCGUCACGAUCCUUCUUCUUCUUCCUUGGCCUCCCCCCUAGAUGGGAGGAGAGUUCCCCCUCUGGUCCAUGGCCUCCAUGGUGGCGGAGGGGCAGGAGCCCCUCGUAGAUUGGAUCAAUCCCCCUGUUCUCGUCGUUUUCGCGUUCCUGUUUUCUGGCCCUUCACCGUUUCUUAAAUUUCUGGAUAUCCGUAACUCCGAUCGUGCUGAGAGUUUUACACGAUUUUUUCCCUAAAUUAUCUUUCUUGCGCCCGAAGAAGGGGCCCAACCGACUUAUGGGGAGGGCACAAGACACCUGGGCGCGCCAGGGGGUGCCUGGCGUGCCCUGGUGGGUUGUGGAGGCUGUGGGCCUCCGUUAGCGUUGAUUCCACCUCCCCAAAAAUCACAUAUAUUCCAAAAUAAUUUUCCGUAAAUUUUUAUCGCGUUUGGACUUCAUUUGAGAUGGAUAUUCUGCGAAACAAAAAACAUGCAACAAACAGGAACUGGCACUGGGCACUGGAUCAAUAGGUUAGUCCAAUAAAUCAUAUAAAAUAUUGCCAAAAGUACGUGAAAGUUGUAUAAUAUUGGCAUGGAACAAUAAAAAAUUAUAGAUACGACGGAGACGUAUCAGCAUCCCCAAGCUUAAUUCCUGCUCGUCCUCGAGUAGGUAAAUGAUAAAAAGAUAAUUUUUGAUGUGGAAUGUUACCAAGCCUAAUCUUGAUCAUAUAUCUAAUCAUAGCAUGAAUAUUAAGACACGAGUGAUUCAAAGCAGUAGUCUAUAAUUUGACAUAAAGACAUCAAUACUCACGCAUCCCAACAAACAAUCAUGUCUUUCAAAAUGUCAAUGCUAAAGAACGUUAUCCCUACAAAAUCAUAUAGUCUUGUCAUGCUCUAUCUUCUUAACACAAAGUAUUUAUCAUGAACUACCCCGGUGUCAGCCAAGCAAUUGGUUUACACUUUUAACGCGCCUCAGCAUUUUCAACUCUCACGCAAUACAUGAGCGCAAGCCAUGGAUAUUGCACUAUGGGUGGAAUAGAGUAUGAUGAUAGGGGUAAAUAUAGAGAAGACAAAAAAGUAAGAAAGUCUCACAUCGACGCGGCUAACCAAUGGGCUAUGAGGAUGCCCAUCAAUUGAUAUCAAUGCGAGGAGUAGGGAUUGCCUUGCAACAAAUACAGUAAGAGAUAUAAGUGUAUGAAAGCUCAAUAUGAAAACUAGGUGGGUGUGCAUCUAAUCCUAUAAUGAAAAAUUCCCACUAGUAUAUGAAAGUGAUAACAUAGGAGACUCUCUAUAUGAAAAACAUGGUGCUACUUUGAAGCACAAGUGUGGAAUUAGCAUGCCCCUUCUAUUCCUUCUUUCUUUCAUUUUUUUCUUUUUCUUUUCUUUUUCUUUUUCUUUUCUUUUCCUUUUUUUUGGUCCGGAGUCUCAUCCCAACUUGUGGGGGAAUCAUAGUCUCCAUCAUCCAUUCCUUACUGGGACAAUGCGGUCAUCACACUUCGAUUCACCUACAACUCAAUAUUACAACUCGAUACCUAUAACAAAAUAUGACUCUAUAUGAAUGCCUCAGGCAGUGUACCAGGAUGUGCAAUGAUCUAGCGUAACAUGUAUAAAAAAUGAUAAACGGUGGCUGAGCCACAAAUACUAUGUCAGCUAUAUGAUCGUGCAAAGCAAUAUGACAAUGAAUGCUUAAGUCAUCAAAAUGGAAGCGGUGGAAGUUGCAUGGCAAUAUAUCUCGGAAUGGCUAUGGAAAGGCCAUAAUAGGUAGGUAUGGUGGCUGUUUUGAGGAAGAUAUAAUAAGUCUUAUGUGUGAUAGAGCGUAUCAUAUCACGGGGUUUGGAUGCACCAGCGAAGUUUGCACCGACUCUCGAGGUGAGAAAGGGCAAUGCACGGUACCAUAGAGGCUAGCAAAUUGCGGAAAGGUAAGAGUGCGUAUAUUCCAUGGACUCACAUUAGUCAUAAAGAACUCAUAUACUUAUUGCAAAAGUUUAUUAGCCCUCGAAGCAAAAUACUACUACGCAUGCCCCUAGGGGCGAGGUUGGUAGGAGUUAACCAUCGUGCACCCCCGACCUCUACGCAAAGGAAGACAAUCAAUAAUAAAUCAUGCUCCAACUUCAUAGCAUAACGAGAGACUAUACGUGCAUGCUUCGGGAAUCACAGACCUUAACACCAAUAUCUUACUAAACACGAUCAUCCACUAGUACCUUGAUACGUCUCCGUCGUAUCUAUAAUUUUUGAUUGUUUCAUGCCAAUAUUAUACAAGUUUUACAUACUUUUGGCAACAUUUUAUAUGAUUUAUUGGACUAACCUAUUGAUCC
rnacentral:lncRNA from 1 species